CAUUUUGAUUAUUAAACUUUAUUGUAUUAUAAUUUUUAAUUUGAAUUUUCUGAAUUACUAUAAUCAAGUCUCACAAUCUAACUUAGUUAGGCUAAAUAUUGAUAAAUUGUUGGGAUAAAUAUAAUGUAACAUCUUAAUUAUUAUCGCAGCAUCAUUUAUAAUAUUUUUACAUACCUUCUACAUCAAUAAUUUAUAAAUAUUUAAUCAAUUUAAUUA
rnacentral:lncRNA from 1 species